rnacentral:rRNA from 1 species
GUAUAAGCAAUCUAUACUGUGAAACUGCGAAUGGCUCAUUAAAUCAGUUAUCGUUUAUUUGAUAGUACCUUACUACUUGGAUAACCGUGGUAAUUCUAGAGCUAAUACAUGCUAAAAACCCCGACUUCGGAAGGGGUGUAUUUAUUAGAUAAAAAACCAAUGCCCUUCGGGGCUCCUUGGUGAUUCAUGAUAACUUAACGAAUCGCAUGGCCUUGCGCCGGCGAUGGUUCAUUCAAAUUUCUGCCCUAUCAACUUUCGAUGGUAGGAUAGUGGCCUACCAUGGUAUCAACGGGUAACGGGGAAUUAGGGUUCUAUUCCGGAGAGGGAGCCUGAGAAACGGCUACCACAUCCAAGGAAGGCAGCAGGCGCGCAAAUUACCCAAUCCCGACACGGGGAGGUAGUGACAAUAAAUACUGAUACAGGGCUCUUUUGGGUCUUGUAAUUGGAAUGAGUACAAUUUAAAUACCUUAACGAGGAACAAUUGGAGGGCAAGUCUGGUGCCAGCAGCCGCGGUAAUUCCAGCUCCAAUAGCGUAUAUUAAAGUUGUUGCAGUUAAAAAGCUCGUAGUUGAACCUUGGGCCUGGCUGGCCGGUCCGCCUCACCGCGUGUACUGGUCCGGCCGGGCCUUUCCUUCUGGGGAUCCUCAUGCCCUUCACUGGGUGUGCUGGGGAACCAGGACUUUUACUUUGAAAAAAUUAGAGUGUUCAAAGCAGGCCUUUGCUCGAAUACAUUAGCAUGGAAUAAUAGAAUAGGACGUGCGGUCCUAUUUUGUUGGUUUCUAGGACCGCCGUAAUGAUUAAUAGGGAUAGUCGGGGGCAUCAGUAUUCAAUUGUCAGAGGUGAAAUUCUUGGAUUUAUUGAAGACUAACUACUGCGAAAGCAUUUGCCAAGGAUGUUUUCAUUAAUCAGUGAACGAAAGUUAGGGGAUCGAAGACGAUCAGAUACCGUCGUAGUCUUAACCGUAAACUAUGCCGACUAGGGAUCGGGCGAUGUUAUUCUUUUGACUCGCUCGGCACCUUACGAGAAAUCAAAGUCUUUGGGUCUGGGGGGAGUAUGGUCCAAGGUGAUAG